rnacentral:rRNA from 1 species
GAUGAACGCUAGCUACAGGCCUAACACAUGCAAGUCGAGCGACCGGCGCACGGGUGAGUAAUACGUAUCCAACCUGCCCUUUACUCGGGGACUGCCUUUCGCAAUAACGAUUAAUACCCGACAUAAAGGAUGGGGAUGCGUUCCAUUGGGUUGUUGGUGAGGUAACGGCUAACCAAGCCUUCGAUGGAUAGGGGUGCUGAGAGGAAGUACCCCCACAAUGGAACUGAGACACAGUCCAAACUGCGACGGGAGGCAGGAGUGAGGAAUACUGGUGGAUGGGCGCUGGCCUGGACCAGCCGAGUGGCGUGAGGGGGGAAGGCGUAGGGGACGUAUACUUCUUUUAUAUAAGAAUAGGUAUUAUAUGAAUAAGGAUCGGCUAACUCCGUGCCAGCAGCCGCGGUAAUUC